rnacentral:tRNA from 1 species
GAUGCCGGCUCAGUGGUCUACAGAUAAAGCGUUCGCUCGCGACACCGAAGAUCCUGGGUUCGAAUCCCGGGAGCGGGAUC